rnacentral:rRNA from 1 species
GUCCACGCCCUAAACGAUGUCAACUGGUUGUUGGGGGAUUUAUUCUCUUAGUAACGAAGCUAACGCGUGAAGUUGACCGCCUGGGGAGUACGGUCGCAAGAUUAAAACUCAAAGGAAUUGACGGGGACCCGCACAAGCGGUGGAUGAUGUGGAUUAAUUCGAUGCAACGCGAAAAACCUUACCUACGCUUGACAUGUCCGAGAUCCCCGAGAGAUUGGGGAGUGCUCGAAAGAGAAUCGGAACACAGGUGCUGCAUGGCUGUCGU